GCUUCCUUAGCGCAGUUGGCAGCGCGUUAGUCUCAUAAUCUGAAGGUCGCCAGUUCGAUCCUGGCAGGGAGCA
rfam:Phycomyces blakesleeanus NRRL 1555(-) unplaced genomic scaffold PHYBLscaffold_38, whole genome shotgun sequence.